AAAAUAUUCUUAGAGCCUCACUUUGAGCUCUUUACUUUUCUGUUCAAAUAACUUCAGUAGUUUCAUUUCACUUCUCUGUUUAAACACUUUCAAAGGGUUCAAAACCCAUAGGCUGAAACUCAGGGUCCUUUUCAAUCAGGCCCUACCACAUUUGUCUGAAGUCUCUGUGCUGUUCUCUUACAUGUACAUUUCCACUCUGACCAUACUAGUCUCCUUGUGGCUCCCUGAGCACACAUUUCACAUUCUUGUCUCUGGGUCUUUCUCUCGGCCUGGUUCUUAAGAUAGCCCCCUCCUCUCCUUUUCUUAUUCAUUGGAACCCAAGCCACCCUUAUCAGUUCAGCUCAAAUUCUUCCUCCAUUUUUCACCCCCCUUUCUCCUCACUCUGCAUACUCUUCUUUACCUGGGAAUUGCUAUAAGGAUUUGUUGUUGCAUUGGCUUGUUUGUUUGUUUUAUUCCUAAGAGCUUUGUGAUAAUCUAUUGCCUCUAUCACUGUAUGGUAGACUUACGUGACAGCAAUCUCUUAAUUAAGCAUACCCUGAGAAUGACCCUGUGUAACAGACACACCUGAAAGCAAUAACUUAACUGAAGAAAUAAGUGUUGCCACGUGGAAGUUGCUGGCUGGUGGGGGCGGUUGCUAACCGAAAGUGCUGUAUAAACUGCAUGCUUUUUUGCAAGCAGUGACCGGUUCUCCUGUUCAGACUGCUACCACUGGACUGCCCUGGAUCCAGAAGGAAAUACUUGAAGAGACACAGCCUGCUCAAAUUCAACAGCCAGUAAGAAAUGUGUGCAGGGCUCCACAUUCCCUGUCCAGUGCUCCUUCCACAUAUAUCCUGAGGUUGGGAGAGGAGGUAUGCAUAUAAAUGAUUGAUGACAUUAGCAAGUUAAAUAAUAAUUUUUAAUAAAAGGAAUAAUUAUACUUUGAAAUUUAAUUGGCAGUAAAAGUACUUGAAAAAUGUGAUAAACAGGAGAAAUAUAGUUUCUAUUUAUGUGUUUUUAAAAUAUCAC
rnacentral:lncRNA from 1 species